ensembl:lincRNA D930016D06Rik RIKEN cDNA D930016D06 gene
AUUGUCAGCACAUGAAAGGUGCCUCAGGGAGAGUGCAGUGACUGACAAGUGGUGACUGUGAGGUGCACAGGGAACAGAUGGAGCAGCUGGUGCGGUGCAUGAAAGGUCAAGUGCUGGGACUGAAGGUGUCCUGUUGCAGACAGGCCAGUGUCUCAGUGUGACCAUGAGAUUCAGCAGUCAGCCUUGCCCAGGUGUCCUCUCCAGUCUCCAGUGGACCUGGAAGUUGGAGGCAGAAGUGGGGGUGCCAGGAUCCACAUGUGUUACUGUGUGGUCCUGAGUGGAUUUGCCAUAACAAGUACAUUACUUAUGUCUGGUUUAUCAUACGAUGCUGGUCUUUAUAACUAAUCAUUAAUCUUCUACACUAUUUUCCAUAAGCUUUACCCAUGGAUGAGAGAUUUUUUAACUUUUCCUCACAUGAUAGAUCUAGACUUUGAAAUAUUGAACUAAGGGGAAAAAACCCUGGAAAGUAUGUUGAGAAGUACGCACAAUUGCUGCCCUGCCUAACUCUUCAGGUGACAAGUAGCUUUCUAAAGCUUGGAACUGUCAAAGGACUUCUGAGUAUGCUUCCAGCCACAAGUCAGUGCUGACAUCUUAACCAGUGUGUGGAGGAGGAGAGCAUUGGUUUCCACACUGAGGCAGCUCUGUGGUGGUUGUUCCUCUCAGGUACCCUCUACUGGUAAACUUUAACUAUACUGACAGACCAUAGCACAGCUAUGUCCCCAUUGUGCUGGAGUUUGUAUGAAUAGUUAGGAUGUUAAUACUACAUUUUUUUGCCUUCUUUCUCAUAGCUGAUGUCUAUGGAACUAGCUGUAUUACUUGUUUUUUGUUUUGUUUUUUAUUGUUAUAGCUCUGUUAAAUGGCCCCCCAAAUUUCCAGAUAGUAUCCCUAACUGCAACAGAAGAAUUUUAUGGAUCCUUAACUCACAAUAAGUUUGACUUUCAACAAUUUGUUGAGUGUGAAUAUUUUUACGUCUUUUUCAUGCUUCCACUUACUUGAAACUCAGUUUAUUCUUAAAAACUGUCUAGCAGAACCAGCUUAUUAAGUGUUACUUUGGUAUGCAGUGAAAUGGUCAAUUAAGCAAUAUUGAAGAAAGAUACUUUGACUGUUUUGAAAUUUAUUAUGAAUCAUAAAACAAAAAUUUCAUAGUAUUUCAGAGAUAAAGUCUAAACUGUUCUUAGUCCAGUAUGUCAGUAGAAUUUAUAGUGCAAAUAAAAUUUGCUUAAUUAAAAGAUUUUUUUUGAAAGUCCGUCUAUUAUCAGAAAGCACCAGGAAGAAGUUGUAUUAGUAGCUGCUGUUUUCAUUGGAAGAGUUUUUCAUUAAAUUUCUGUGUAAAAUCUAUUCUUAAUAAGAGAUUUUGUUUGUUUUCCAAACAUACUAUAUAGUAUGAUCUUUUGAAAUCGAAAUGGAUAAGGAAGAAACAAGUGAGGGCUGGUGAUGGUCUUAUAACCACUACAGAAACUCUGUGUUUAGUGCUGUAUCUUGUAUUCAUUCUCAUGUUAAUUAAUUACUAGAUGUUGUCAGUCAUGUCUCCAAUGAAAACAGGAGUGAUAGGGCUUUCUGAGUCAGUUGAUGAAUGAAUCAUACUAAUUUUUAGCAGUUUUUUCAUAUAAUUUUGUCUCCAUCUUUUCAGUAUGUUGACCGAGUUCUUCUAGGUGGUAAAGUUUGUGUUCCAGGUAUAUUGAGUUUAUGUAUUUAUCAUGUAUGCACUAUUGUUAGGUGAAAACAUACUUCAACUUGAUGGGCAGCUAUUAUUCAGUAUUCAUGUAUACUAAUGUUGAUAUAUAUUAGAUACUGUGUUUUACUAUACCUAUAAGGUUAUACAAAAUUCUUUCCUUUUACUCAUGAGUUCCAUCUGUUUGGAUUUUUUGUUUGUUUAGAUUUUUUUUCUUCGUGUGUUAAAAAAUAUAGUUUAAUGCUUUUCCUGGUACCUUGCCCUUUGUUGGCAUAAUUGGGAUAUAAAUCGUUCAAAUCUCCACAAUUAAGAGUUUCAGAAAUAAGUGAUACUGGCCACUUGACUUAAUAAAGACUAGAUAUACAAAACAGGUAGAAAAAAUACCUAUUUCCUCACUAAAAACAAUUGAAUAUUUUUCUUAUUAUUAGCAAAUAUUAGUAAUAGCAUAGGCUAUGAAUAAUUUCUAUAUGUUUUGGCAAGCACAUAGUGAGACAAUGCUUAUUACAGUAAGUACUCAUUUCAGUUAACUAACUGGGCACUGUAAUUCCAAUAGGGCUGUAAUGCAUGGAAACUCACUCUUCAGAUUCCUUAGAGCUGUAACCUGAGACAGUUGAAGGGCCCAUAGUUCAUUUGGGAGGUGUAGAUAGUAGUGAAGCUGAGGAAGCCUGGAAAGGAAAGGUGUACAGAGGGUGUGCUGUCAAGCUGGCUAACACUGCAGGAUGCUAGAACUGUAUUUCCUUUGUGCUACUCUGGAAAAACUAGAACACACAAUUCAGACAUACCUCAUGUGAAGAAUUGGGAUACAGAACUAGUUUGGGGCAGUGGUAGCUAUCCUGUACAGUGAACAGCAGUUCUUGGCAACUUGUGAUCAAGAGCUGUAGCUGGACAUGAUGGCACAUGCUUGCAGUUCCAGCACCUGAGAGGUAGAAUCAGGAAGACCAGGAGUUUAGGGGGAACCUGGGCUACAUGGACUGUGUCC